rnacentral:rRNA from 1 species
UACGUAGGGUGCGAGCGUUAAUCGGAAUUACUGGGCGUAAAGCGUGCGCAGGCGGUUCGUUAAGUUCGAUGUGAAAGCCCCGGGCUCAACCUGGGAACUGCAUUGGAAACUGGCGAGCUUGAAUGCGGCAGAGGGGGGUGGAAUUUCCGGUGUAGCGGUGAAAUGCGUAGAUAUCGGAAGGAACAUCAGUGGCGAAAGCGACUUCCUGGACCAAUACUGACGCUCAUGUGCGAAAGCGUGGGGAGCAAACAGG